rnacentral:rRNA from 1 species
UACGGAGGAUGCGAGCGUUAUCCGGAUUUAUUGGGUUUAAAGGGUGCGUAGGCGGAUUUUUAAGUCAGCGGUAGAAUGUCCGGGCUCAACCCGGGCCGGCCGUUGAAACUGGGGAUCUUGAGUGGGCGAGAAGUAUGCGGAAUGCGUGGUGUAGCGGUGAAAUGCAUAGAUAUCACGCAGAACUCCGAUUGCGAAGGCAGCAUACCGGCGCCCGACUGACGCUGAGGCACGAAAGCGUGGGGAUCGAACAGG